CUUUUUCUUGCUAACACAUUCCAGCUUCCUGUGUGGGACAGGAAGUCCGCUGAGCUUUUUUGUUAAGUGUUAUUUGGAGGAAACUUGGAGCACAUGCUGCCUUUUGAACUGCUUAGCGUCAUUGCCACUCUUCCACCCACCAGAAAUGUAGUGAACAAGAUGGAUUGAAGGUAAUCUUGGUUAACCUGAAAAAAGCUCACCAACUACAUAAUGAUCACCUCCAGUUCAUCCCUCAGCUGACCAGAGAUUGUUCACCAACAUACUACUUUAGAGAUUUUUGUAUUUUCCAUAUAUUCUCACUAGACUAUGGUAGUAAUUCUAGAUUGCCUAUAUCAACAUGGAGCCACCCUUAUCCUUACGAAGAAAAUCCAGAUUUUUCGUGGCUGCUCACAUUACCACCAGCAAAAAACAAAUGAACAAACAACAACAAAACAAACCUCAACAACAGCAACAACAAAAAACCCACAAACAAACUAUAUUUUGUAAUGUUCCUGGCUGUUAGUGUGAGUGUAAAUGGAAGUGUUGUAUGUGAUUUCCAGGAAGCAUUCUUAAAAGAAGGGGCACACCCUUCUCCUCUUCCUUCUUCCUGCUAUGUGGAAUGCAGCUAUAAUAGCUACAUUUCCAGCAGCCAUCCUGGACACUGAAGCAAUGCAUCCAGAAACAGCAAAACAGGAGGGGCUUGAAUUUCUUAUGACCUUGGAGCUGCCAGAUCAGUCCUACAAGGGCUCCUCAGGAAUUCUUUCGUGAGCCUAGUGACUAUGGGUUGGAGGAGGACCUGGAAGCAAGGAGACCAGCUUAAGAGAUGACUUCAGUAGUCUGCAGUGAUGGCCUGGAUCCAGGCAGUGGUGACAGGGCUGUGGAAAUAGGGAACACAGACUGAAGACACAAAGCCAAGGAAAUCAUCAAGAGUCCACAGUUUAUGGGCUGUGAGAGUGAUGAACAGA
rnacentral:lncRNA from 1 species